GAUGAACGCUAGCGGCAGGCCUAAUACAUGCAAGUCGAACGGUGUCUUCGGACAUAGUGGCGCACGGGUGCGUAACACGUAUGCAACCUACCUUACAUUGGGGGAUAGCCUUUCGAAGGGGAGAUUAAUACCGCAUAAGACAGUAGCUGGGCAUCCAGCAGCUGUUAAAGAUUUAUCAAUUUAAGCGGGGCAUGCGUCCAAUUAGCUAGUUGGUGAGGUAACGGCUCACCAAGGCAAUGAUUGGUAGGGGAACUGAGAGGUCAAUCCCCCACACUAGCACUGAGAUACGGGCCAGACUCCUACGGGAGGCAGCAGUAGGGAAUAUUGGGCAAUGGACGCAAGUCUGACCCAGCCAUGCCGCGUGCAGGAUGAAGGCGUUAUGCGUUGUAAACUGCUUUUAUACAGGAAGAAACGACUCUUGCGAGAGGCAUUGACGGUACUGUAUGAAUAAGCACCGGCUAACUCCGUGCCAGCAGCCGCCGCCGUAA
rnacentral:rRNA from 1 species